rnacentral:rRNA from 1 species
CUGUUGGGUAGGGGAGCGUUCUGUAAGCGGAUGAAGGUGGCUCGAGAGGGCUGCUGGACGUAUCAGAAGUGCGAAUGCUGACAUAAGUAACGAUAAAACGGGUGAAAAACCCGUUCGCCGGAAGACCAAGGGUUCCUGUCCAACGUUAAUCGGGGCAGGGUGAGUCGGCUCCUAAGGCGAGGCUGAAAAGCGUAGUCGAUGGGAAACAGGUUAAUAUUCCUGUACUUGGUAAAGCUGCGAUGUGGGGACGGAGUAGGUUAGGUUAUCGCACUGUUGGAUAUGUGCGUUUAAGUUGGUAGGUGGGAAGUUUAGGCAAAUCCGGGCUUCCUUAACACAGAGAGAUGAUGACGAGGCUCUACGGAGCUGAAGUAACUGAUACCACACUUCCAGGAAAAGCCACUAAGCGAAAGGCUUUACUAAACCGUACUGAAAACCGACACAGGUGGUCAGGUAGAGAAUACUCAGGCGCUUGAGAGAACUCGGGUGAAGGAACUAGGCAAAAUAGCACCGUAACUUCGGGAGAAGGUGCGCCGGCGUAGAUUGUAAGGGCUAGCCCCUGAAGGUUGAACCGGUCGAAGAUACCAGCUGGCUGCAACUGUUUAUUAAAAACACAGCACUCUGCAAACACGAAAGUGGACGUAUAGGGUGUGAUGCCUGCCCGGUGCUGGAAGGUUAAUUGAUGGUGUAAUCGCAAGAGAAGCACCUGAUCGAAGCCCCAGUAAACGGCGGCCGUAACUAUAACGGUCCUAAGGUAGCGAAAUUCCUUGUCGGGUAAGUUCCGACCUGCACGAAUGGCAUAAUGAUGGCCAGGCUGUCUCCACCCGAGACUCAGUGAAAUUGAAAUCGCCGUGAAGAUGCGGUGUACCCGCGGCUAGACGGAAAGACCCCGUGAACCUUUACUAUAGCUUGACACUGAACAUUGAAUUUUGAUGUGUAGGAUAGGUGGGAGCCUUUGAAGCAGUGACGCCAGUCAUUGUGGAGGCGACCUUGAAAUACCACCCUUUAACGUUUGAUGUUCUAACGAAGAUGACGAAACGUGGUCUCGGACAGUGUCUGGUGGGUAGUUUGACUGGGGCGGUCUCCUCCCAAAGCGUAACGGAGGAGCACGAAGGUUUGCUAAUCACGGUCGGACAUCGUGAGGUUAGUGCAAUGGUAUAAGCAAGCUUAACUGCGAGACAGACAAGUCGAGCAGGUACGAAAGUAGGUCAUAGUGAUCCGGUGGUUCUGAAUGGAAGGGCCAUCGCUCAACGGAUAAAAGGUACUCCGGGGAUAACAGGCUGAUACCGCCCAAGAGUUCAUAUCGACGGCGGUGUUUGGCACCUCGAUGUCGGCUCAUCACAUCCUGGGGCUGAAGUAGGUCCCAAGGGUAUGGCUGUUCGCCAUUUAAAGUGGUACGCGAGCUGGGUUUAGAACGUCGUGAGACAGUUCGGUCCCUAUCUGCCGUGGGCGUAGGAGAAUUGGUUGGGGCUGCUCCUAGUACGAGAGGACCGGAGUGGACGCACCACUGGUGUUCCGGUUGUGUCGCCAGACGCAUUGCCGGGUAGCUAAGUGCGGAAGAGAUAAGUGCUGAAAGCAUCUAAGCACGAAACUUGCCAAGAGAUGAGUUCUCCCAAUCAAAGAGAUUGUAAGGGUUGUUGUAGACUACGACGUAGAUAGGUCUGGUGUGUAAGUGUAGUGAUGCAUUGAGCUAACAGAUACUAAUUGCCCGAGAGGCUUAACUAU